rnacentral:lncRNA from 1 species
AUUCCAGUGUAUCUCCCUACCUCAUAUUCACAGGCUCAGCUCUUACUCAUACUCUCUUUUAAUCAGGCAAAAUUCUUCUUCCACAUUGAGUACUGCAAAGCACAGCUCUGGGAGCACAGCAAGACAGGCCGCUUGCUCUCAGUUCAGGUGUCCCAACUUAAGCCUAGAUGAAAACUCACACAAAAGAAGUAGGAAGACUGCAAACUCCUUUAAAAGAAACAAGCCUGGAACCAUGGACCCAGCCCCAGGUUUGUUUUUCAUUAUCUGCAGGUGCCAUCUCUUGAAUAACUUGGCUUCAAUGUAGGAUCAAAAGAAGAGUGAUUUCAAGAAAAAUACUUUUUAUGUAAAGACUUUGGGCUUGUCAUAGGUUGUAAAUUUGGUUAUACUGCUAAACUUUGCCAGAUUUUACUUGCUGGUUUGUGCAAUUCCUUGGUGGUGAGCAAAGUAGUUGCUUAGCUAUUGCUUAAACCAUUAGUUCCAUAAUUUUUACUCUGAGGAAGAAAGAGCUUGGCCUUUCCUCCUUCUACCCCUUUCCCUUUUUAACUAUUCCUUGAGUUUUUAGCUCUGCCUAAGUAACAAUCAAGGGCAUUCUCUUAAAUUUAAAUCUUCAUUCUUCAUUUAUAAAGUUAUUAAUGUUCCUUUUCAAGGUCAAGUAUGUUCUGC